CAUUAAGAAGCUAUGCAACAGCACUAGCCUUUUAAGCUAGCUAAAGAGGACCAUCUCCCUCCUUAAUGA
rnacentral:tRNA from 1 species